AAUAAAAACUUUGCAUACAAGAAUUAAUAAAAAUGUUAUAACGAAUUUAAUUAAAUGUUUUAUCAUUAUAUAUAAAGAAUUUAUGGCAAGAUAAAGUUAUAUACAACCUCAACUCAUAUGGGACUACCCCCUGAAUUUAAGCAUAUUAAUUAGGGGAGGAAAAGAAACUAACAAGGAUUUUCUUAGUAGCGGCGAGCGAAAAGAAAACAGUUCAGCACUAAGUCACUUUGUCUAUAUGGCAAAUGUGAGAUGCAGUGUAUGGAGCGUCAAUAUUCUAGUAUGAGAAAUUAACGAUUUAAGUCCUUCUUAAAUGAGGCCAUUUACCCAUAGAGGGUGCCAGGCCCGUAUAACGUUAAUGAUUACUAGAUGAUGUUUCCAAAGAGUCGUGUUGCUUGAUAGUGCAGCACUAAGUGGGUGGUAAACUCCAUCUAAAACUAAAUAUAACCAUGAGACCGAUAGUAAACAAGUACCGUGAGGGAAAGUUGAAAAGAACUCUGAAUAGAGAGUUAAACAGUACGUGAAACUGCUUAGAGGUUAAGCCCGAUGAACCUGAAUAUCCGUUAUGGAAAAUUCAUCAUUAAAAUUGUAAUAUUUAAAUAAUAUUAUGAGAAUAGUGUGCAUUUUUUCCAUAUAAGGACAUUGUAAUCUAUUAGCAUAUACCAAAUUUAUCAUAAAAUAUAACUUAUAGUUUAUUCCAAUUAAAUUGCUUGCAUUUUAACACAGAAUAAAUGUUAUUAAUUUGAUAAAGUGCUGAUAGAUUUAUAUGAUUACAGUGCGUUAAUUUUUCGGAAUUAUAUAAUGGCAUAAUUAUCAUUGAUUUUUGUGUUUAUUAUAUGCACUUGUAUGAUUAACAAUGCGAAAGAUUCAGGAUACCUUCGGGACCCGUCUUGAAACACGGACCAAGGAGUCUAACAUAUGUGCAAGUUAUUGGGAUAUAAACCUAAUAGCGUAAUUAACUUGACUAAUAAUGGGAUUAGUUUUUUAGCUAUUUAUAGCUAAUUAACACAAUCCCGGGGCGUUCUAUAUAGUUAUGUAUAAUGUAUAUUUAUAUUAUUUAUGCCUCUAACUGGAACGUACCUUGAGCAUAUAUGCUGUGACCCGAAAGAUGGUGAACUAUACUUGAUCAGGUUGAAGUCAGGGGAAACCCUGAUGGAAGACCGAAACAGUUCUGACGUGCAAAUCGAUUGUCAGAAUUGAGUAUAGGGGCGAAAGACCAAUCGAACCAUCUAGUAGCUGGUUCCUUCCGAAGUUUCCCUCAGGAUAGCUGGUGCAUUUUAAUAUUAUAUAAAAUAAUCUUAUCUGGUAAAGCGAAUGAUUAGAGGCCUUAGGGUCGAAACGAUCUUAACCUAUUCUCAAACUUUAAAUGGGUAAGAACCUUAACUUUCUUGAUAUGAAGUUCAAGGUUAUGAUAUAAUGUGCCCAGUGGGCCACUUUUGGUAAGCAGAACUGGCGCUGUGGGAUGAACCAAACGUAAUGUUACGGUGCCCAAAUUAACAACUCAUGCAGAUACCAUGAAAGGCGUUGGUUGCUUAAAACAGCAGGACGGUGAUCAUGGAAGUCGAAAUCCGCUAAGGAGUGUGUAACAACUCACCUGCCGAAGCAACUAGCCCUUAAAAUGGAUGGCGCUUAAGUUGUAUACCUAUACAUUACCGCUAAAGUAGAUGAUUUAUAUUACUUGUGAUAUAAAUUUUGAAACUUUAGUGAGUAGGAAGGUACAAUGGUAUGCGUAGAAGUGUUUGGCGUAAGCCUGCAUGGAGCUGCCAUUGGUACAGAUCUUGGUGGUAGUAGCAAAUAAUCGAAUGAGACCUUGGAGGACUGAAGUGGAGAAGGGUUUCGUGUGAACAGUGGUUGAUCACGAGUUAGUCGGUCCUAAGUUCAAGGCGAAAGCCGAAAAUUUUCAAGUAAAACAAAAAUGCCUAACUAUAUAAACAAAGCGAAUUAUAAUACACUUGAAUAAUUUUGAACGAAAGGGAAUACGGUUCCAAUUCCGUAACCUGUUGAGUAUCCGUUUGUUAUUAAAUAUGGGCCUCGUGCUCAUCCUGGCAACAGGAACGACCAUAAAGAAGCCGUCGAGAGAUAUCGGAAGAGUUUUCUUUUCUGUUUUAUAGCCGUACUACCAUGGAAGUCUUUCGCAGAGAGAUAUGGUAGAUGGGCUAGAAGAGCAUGACAUAUACUGUUGUGUCGAUAUUUUCUCCUCGGACCUUGAAAAUUUAUGGUGGGGACACGCAAACUUCUCAACAGGCCGUACCAAUAUCCGCAGCUGGUCUCCAAGGUGAAGAGUCUCUAGUCGAUAGAAUAAUGUAGGUAAGGGAAGUCGGCAAAUUAGAUCCGUAACUUCGGGAUAAGGAUUGGCUCUGAAGAUUGAGAUAGUCGGGCUUGAUUGGGAAACAAUAACAUGGUUUAUGUGCUCGUUCUGGGUAAAUAGAGUUUCUAGCAUUUAUGUUAGUUACUUGUUCCCCGGAUAGUUUAGUUACGUAGCCAAUUGUGGAACUUUCUUGCUAAAAUUUUUAAGAAUACUAUUUGGGUUAAACCAAUUAGUUCUUAUUAAUUAUAACGAUUAUCAAUUAACAAUCAAUUCAGAACUGGCACGGACUUGGGGAAUCCGACUGUCUAAUUAAAACAAAGCAUUGUGAUGGCCCUAGCGGGUGUUGACACAAUGUGAUUUCUGGCACCAGUAUGCUCUUUAAGGAAGAUCGUGUUCAAUGGCCGGACGAACUGAUGAACUCAGUGUCUUCUAUGAUAUGAUGCAAAGGAGGUUGAGCUCACAGCAAAUGGAUGUAAACACAUAAACAAGCAACUAGCGGUGUAUUUUGCAAACCGCAGCGUCGAAGCCAUCAAAAAGCUAAGACAGAGGGGCGAUUAUAAGGAGAAAAUAGAGCAGAUAAGAGGGCAAUCAGCUCUCGCCCCGGAAGUUGCUAAUCUAACCAUAAGGCGCCGCCCUAGUAGAAGUGAGCAAGACCACCAAGUAACAACAUCGGAAACAACUCCAAUCACUCCCUUCGAACAGUCGAACAGGGAAAUUUUGCGGACACUACGCGGGUAUAGCCCCGUAGAAUGCCAUUCCAAAUGGAGAGCCCAAGAGUUGCAAACUAUCAUUGAUAGGGCACAUCUCGAGGGAAAGGAAACCACUCUCCAAUGCUUAUCGCUAUAUCUCCUGGGAAUUUUUCCGGCACAGGGUGUACGACACACACUGACGAGACCUCCUCGGAGACCUCGGAACAGGAGAGAAAGCAGAAGGCAGCAGUACGCUGUCGUCCAGCGUAACUGGGAUAAGCAUAAAGGAAGAUGCAUCAAGUCCUUGCUAAAUGGAACUGAUGAGUCGGUAAUGCCAAGCCAAGAAAUAAUGGUUCCCUACUGGAGAGAAGUAAUGACUCAGCCUAGCCCAAGCUCUUGC
rnacentral:rRNA from 1 species